rnacentral:rRNA from 1 species
UUCGGGUUGUAAACCUCUUUCGGCCGGGACGAAGCCGCCGGGGCGGAUACUCCAGGGGCCGGACGGCUCCUCUACAGGGACGCCCGGGGAUAUUAUAGGCCCGCAGCCGGGGUAAUA